rnacentral:rRNA from 1 species
UACAGGGGGUGCAAACGUUGCUCGGAAUCAUUGGGCGUAAAGCGCACGUAGGCGGUCUGUUAUGUCGGAUGUGAAAGCCCUUGGCUCAACUGAGGAAGUGCAUCCGAAACUGGCAGGCUAGAGUACUAAAGAGGAUCGCGGAAUUCCCGGUGUAGAGGUGAAAUUCGUAGAUAUCGGGAGGAACACCGGUGGCGAAGGCGGCUACCUGGACCGGUUCUGACGCUGAUGCGCGAAAGCGUGGGUAGCAAACAGG